rnacentral:tRNA from 1 species
GCCUAGGAUAGCUCAGUUGGUAGAGCAUGAGAUGCUUAAUUUCAGGGUUGUGAGUUUGAGCCCCACAUUGGGCA